CGAGGAGAGGGUAAUGCGCAUGCGGGCGUGUCUCCCGGGACUCUAGAGCUGGCGAGCCCCCCGGCACCUUCGGGCUGGAAUGAGCCUUCCAAAGACACUGGACCAAGACCAUGCUGGAGUAUAGGGUGCCAGAAGCAAUGGUGGCCCAGACAGGGUUUGGACACAGCUACUGGAAGCAGUCACUUGCCCUUGGAAUCUGGCCACAUGUUACAAAGGAAGCACAGGCCACAUGGAGAUGCCCCUCACAGAUGUUGCUGCUGAUAAUCCCAGCAAAGAUUCCCAGCAACAUAUGAAUGAAUGAGACCUAGAUGAUUGGUCAUAUGAAUGAAUGAGACCUCAGGUGAUUCCAGAUUUUAGCUAUCAAGCUGUCCUAGUGCACUCCAGAGAAGAGAUGAACCGUGUUGUUAAGCCCUACCAAACUGAA